rnacentral:tRNA from 1 species
GGGUGCAUAGCUCAGUUGGCUAGAGCGCUACCUCGACAUGGUAGAAGUCUGGGGUUCGAGUCCCUAUGUACCCACCA